AUCUCCAUAUAUGAGCUCCCCUACUCUUUGAACCUAGGAGCAUUUGAGGGGGGUAUUUAGGAUUGCUCCAACCCACCAGUACCUGCAGUUCUCUCCUCCAGUGUCAGCUUGUCGGAUCUUGUCAGCUGUCUGUCCCGGCCCAUGCAAUGGGAGCACCACUGCUCCUCCUUGCCCUGACCCUAUUCCCAGUGGCAGCAGCAAGCCUGGAACCUCACUAUAUGGUGGUGUUCCCUGCUGUCAUUCAGCAGUCCCACGAGGAGAAGCUCUACAUUCACUUCAGCUCCCUAACUGAGGCCAUCCAUCUGACUGUCACCUUGCAGACAAAAACCCAGAAUCACACCCUGGUGGAGCAGGAUGUAGAGAAGCCGGGCACCUUUCAGUGCAUCACCUUCCAGGUGCCAGACCUCAUGUUAAUUCCCAAGAACACAGAUGAUCCCAUGUCACAGCCAGAGGAGGUGGUUUUUCUGCAUGUCUUGAUCCACAGUGGAGACAACGUACUCCUUGAGGGUCAGAAGAAAGUUCUGGUCAAGCCCCAGAAGAAUAUAAUUCUGAUAGAGACAGACAAGGGCUUAUACAAACCUGGAGAAACAGUGAAAUUUCGAAUUGUGAACCUUGAUGAGAACCUUAAGGUCAUUAAAAAUGAGUAUUCCCAGAUAUGGCUGCAGGAUCCUGAACACAACCGCAUUGCUGAGUGGCUGAAUGUGAAGGCAAAUCAGGGCAUCGUGGAUCUGUCCUUCCCCCUGGCACCCGAAGCAUCCCUUGGGAAAUACACCAUCUCAGUGCAGCAAGACAUGGCUGAGAAAACCUUCAGUGUUGAGGAAUAUGUGCUGAAAAAAUUUGAGAUAACAAUUAAUCACCCUCCAUAUAUCGCUGCAGAGGAUGAAGAGUUUCAGCUGGAGGUCUGUGGCAAGUAUACCUAUGGGAAGCCUGUUCAAGGGAAAACAGAAGUUACUGUUACAACAAUCUCCAAGGCCAUGGAAGGCAAUUUCACAAGUUCUGCGAUGAAGAAGCACAAGAGCUGGACAAAUAGUGAUGGCUGUGUUACUUCCACAGUGAAGACAGAAACUCUGGAACUAAAUGAAGCUGACGCAUUUGUAAUUGCAGUAGGAAAAAUAGUGGAAAAUGGAACAGGAGCACAUUCUGUGGAAAAAGCUCUGAUUCCUGUUGCAACGGUAACGAAAGCUCUAGAGUUUGUCAACCUCCACCCAUUCUACAAACGUGGGAUGCCAUACACAGGGAAGAUAUUCUGCCACAGUGCAGAUUUUCCCCUCAGAAAUGAAACAAUUUAUCUGAUAGUUGACGUCAAUGAUGAGGAGACACAGCUUUCACUCCUCUCAGAUGAGAAUGGGGAAGCUCACUUCACACUGGAUACCACCAGCUGGAACAGCACGUUGGUUUCUCUAAGGGGAACCUACAACCCUCCAACUGACGAGAGCCCAUCUUCUGUGGAAAGUGAAACAGAGGGCAGCUUCCACUGGCUGAAACCUUUCUACUCUGAGAGCAACAGCUUCCUUGAGAUCAAGGCCAAGGAUGAUGUGAUGUCCUGUAAUCAAGAGCAGGAAGUGCAGGUGGAUUAUAUCCUUUCCCAGGAUAAACUCAGCUCUGCAGAAGACCACAUUGAUUUCUACUACUUGGUGAUAGCAAAGGGCAAGAUCCUUUUCAGCAAAGAGAAGAAGGUGCCAAUUACCCAGCAUGAGAAUCUGCAGGGCUCCUUCACUCUGACUCUGCCUGUCAGCAAUGAUUUCCUGCCGGAUAUCAAGCUCCUGGUGUAUGCAGUCUUCUCGGAUGGAGAGGUGGUGGCUGAUGUGGAGCAGUUUGAACUAGAAACGUGCUUUAAGCAUAAGGUGGCACUCGAAUUCUCACACAAGGAGGAAGUGCCGGGAUCGAAAGUCAGACUGAACCUCAAGGCUGCUCCAGGGUCCUUGUGCUCUGUGCGAGCUGUUGACAAGAGCGUCCUCCUGGAGAAGAACCACACCCUCACAGCAGACAAGUUGUAUAAUGCAUUCUUUGAAGACAGCUUCACGGUUGGAGGRCGAGGCUUGCCUUACCGCUUGGAAGACUUUGAGGCAUACCCGUGUCUGCCCCAGAAGCCCAGCCUCCACAAAAAGGCUCAYAUGGGGGCACCGUGGUACCAAAGUGAGGCUGAUGUCUAUAAUCUGUUGAAGAAAYUGCGCAUGAAAAUAUUUACCAACACCAGAAUCAAGAAACCUGUUUCCUGUGUGCGUCCAGACUUUCAUAGAAAGAUAUAUCUAAGGAAAGACAAUAUGCUUGGCAGCCACGCUGUCCAAGAUGAUUCUAAACCUCACUCUAAUGACAAGAAGAAGCCAAAACCUCGGACGCUUUUCCCAGAGACCUGGAUUUGGGAUUUGGUCUCUGUCGGGGACAACGGACAAGCAUCUCUCCAAGUUGCUGUACCUGACACCAUCACAGAAUGGAAUGCCAACACUUUCUGUGUCGCUGAUAUUGGCUUUGGUUUCUCGCCUAUGACCUCUCUCAGGGUCUUCCAGCCUUUCUUUGUGGAUGUAUCACUGCCAUACUCUGUGAUCCAAGAAGAGACUUUCACCCUAAAAGCCACUGUCUUCAACUACCUCGAGGACUGUAUGCAGAUCCACACCACUCUCAUGGAGACCCCAGAACUGAAGGUGGAUGCCUGUCCAAGCUGCCAGUUCACCAGCUGCCUCUGUGCCAAUGAAGCAAAAACUUUUGUGUGGAACGUGACGGCGACYAGGCUAGGCAGAGUGAACAUCACCGUGAGCAGCGUGGCAGAAGACUCACACAGUCUGUGUGGUAACAGGAUUGCUCUGACACCUUUGCAAGGAGAGAGAGACACAGUGAUAAAAUCUCUUCUUGUGAAGCCAGGGGGUGUCCUACAAGAGAAGACCCAAAAUGCCUUUCUCUGUCCUGCAGAUAACACAAUCUCUGAAGAGUUCUCCGUGACUCUGCCCGCAGAAGUGCUGCAGGGAUCUGCCCGGGUCACGUUCUCUGUGAUUGGUGACAUCAUGGGUCCAGCACUUCAAAAUUUAGACCAGCUGCUAAGCAUGCCCUUUGGCUGUGGUGAACAGAACAUGGUCCAGUUUGCACCAAACAUCUUCAUACUCCAGUACCUGAAUAAAACUAAACAACUGAACCCAGAAAUUAAGGAUGAAGCACUGAAAUUCCUGACAACAGGUUACCAGCGUCAGCUGCUCUACAAACAUGAUGAUGGCUCCUACAGCGCCUUUGGGAAAGGUGAUGAGCAGGGCAACACGUGGCUGACAGCUUUUGUGGCCAGGUCCUUUGGCCAAGCCAGCUCUCACAUUUACAUCGAUAAGGAGCAYGUGCGCAGCGCUCUGCUCUGGCUGCAGAAGCACCAGCUGCCCACUGGCUGCUUCCAGARUGUGGGGAAGCUCUUCAACAAUGACCUGAAGGGCGGUGUGGAUGAUACGAUCUCAUUAACAGCCUACAUUGCUGCUGCACUGGUGGAACUCCCUCUGGAGAGGAAUGACACUAUGUUGGAUAAUGCCUUACAUUGCCUUAAGAGUGUAACACUYGAUGAGACAAGCCUUUAUGUCAAGGCUUUGAUGGCUUAUGUCUUCACGCUGAGCAAGGACAUGGAGAUGAGAAAGCAGCUAAUGGACCUGGUAGAGAAGGAAACUGCACAGCUACUGACAUCGCAAUCYGCUGAUGAAACAUCUUCUUCCAUGAUUGAGACAGUAGCCUACAUCAUUCUGGCUCAUGUCUCCAAACCAGACGUGUCAGCCAAUGAUGCCUCGGUGAGCAAGCUGGUGCACUGGCUCAGUGGACAAAGAAAUGCCUUUGGAGGAUUUGCUUCCACACAGGACACAGUUGUCAGCCUGCAGGCCCUUGCUCARUAUGCAGCCCUGAUUCCUCAGCAGAUCAGAGAUGUUAGGGUGACAGUGAAAGGCAAGGAGGCUUCUCCACUGGCAUUCCAUGUGCACARUAACAACAAGUUGGUCCUGCAUCAGGCAUCUCUCUUUGCGGACACCGGAACCUACACCGUGCAAGCGACGGGCAGCGGCUGUGUUUAUGUCCAGAACACUUUGUACUAUAACAUCCCACCACCAAAAACAGAAGAUGUCUUUGUCCUGGAUGUGGAAACAGUGCCAAGAGAAUGUGAUGGUGUCAGGAAAGAGUUUGACAUCCAUGUGUCUGUCAGUUAUGUAGGAGACCGAGGGACGAGUAACAUGGCCCUGGUGGAAGUGGAGAUGCUGUCAGGGUUCAUUCCUGUGCAGAGYUCUGUGAAAGAGCUGGAGAAGGUWCCCCUCGUGAAAAAGACAGAGAUAAAACCAGACAAAAUCACAAUCUACUUGGAGGAGCUGGCUGAGAGUCCUCUGAAGCUUAACAUUUCAGUGGAACAAGAUGUUGAAGUGCAGAAUCUGAAAGCUGCAACAGUGCAUGUCUAUGACUACUAUAAGCCAGAUGACUGCACGGCACGAGAGUAUGCUUUCCCUUGCAGUUCAGGUUAGUGUUAACAGGCUGCCAAGGUGGGAACAGCUGGAGCAGAGCAGAGGACUGGUGAUCCCUCAAAGAAGGUUUCCUCCUAGURUGGUCUGAUUCUGCAACCUGAGUCUUCUGCCUCCAUAAGGAAAACUUCAUUGCUCUGGUUUUUCUCCCCAGCUGUGUUGGAAACACCGUAUUUCCUUUGUCCUAAGUUUUUAUGUGAAAACUUGUUUAAUACACAUUAGUUUGGGAGCAAGUAAAUAAAGUAUGUGGAAAGAAGGAAAGUGACCUUCUUCUGGAAAGAAGGCAGUGACUCCACAGUUGAUGAAGAUUUCAGGGCAUGAAAAAAAGGAAAACAUUUUGCACAUCAUGGUUACAUACUUURCAUUUGGUCACCAUAGUGAUACAACUCUCUCCACCCCAAGUCCCAUCUUUGAGCUCUCUUUUCAAUUUAGUUUACACUAUAGAUGGUCUGCAAGCAAACUCCAUGCAAAAAAAACCCCACAUUUUUAACUCUGAUCUGAUUUACUACCUGGCCCUGUGAAUCAUUUUUCUGUCAUAACUGAAGAGUAGGAACAGGAGAGGGAAGGAUAAGGAAAAAAUACUUUUCCAGUUCAUACAGACAGAAAAGGACUGUACAGCAAUGUCUUAUGAAGGGAGGGCAUGAAACCAAAAUAACACUUGCUCCAAAUUCACUACAUGUUUAGACUCUUGAAAACACCCAGUCCCUUCUUGUCAAGACACUAACCCAAAUGACUAAUCCUUACCUGUGGCACUACCUAAAAAAGACAACAAUUUGAGGAAUUUCAGGAUGCAACCCAUGCAACAAGACAAUAGAGUGUAUGCAGACARCUCAGCAGGAUAUGCAGUGCCAUUAGCAAAAUAACACCCAUAAAAGAUAGGAUACUAGAUAAGAAAAAAUGGGUUCUAGUUUUACAGAGCUGAUUGCUUAAAGGAAAAUUACCAUGACAGUCAUGCCAAAAAUAUGAAGUAAGUUAUGAAGUCAACAAKACCAUGGGCAACGGAGAAGUGAAAAAGGCUUCUAAAGAGGAGAUACUUUGGGAGAAAAAAGAAGGAGAUAAAGGAACAAAAAGUGAAGCAGGUAAUGUGACAAGGAUUGCUUGGGUUAUCCCUGUGUAGCAGCCCUUUGCCUGAUCAACAGAGCUUGCAAAAGGACAGUAAAUCUAUUUUUUCUCUGACCAUUCAGAACAAUUGGUCCAUAAAGGGGGCAGAACCAUCCCUUCCACACAGGGACAAAAGGAAAAGAAAAGUCUCACAGCAGUGCUUAGCAAGCAUUUAGGGGAGGUAGAAAACCUGAGGAAYGGAGCAAUUCAUUCUGUGGACAGCUGACACAAAAGGACAGGGUUGAGUUCAAGGAAGCAAAAAUAUGAAUAAACUGAGCAGCCCUCGGACCAUUGUUCCCCUAGCAUUGCUCCCUCCGAAGACAUUGAAGGAGUCAGUAGAGACUGAUGGUGCUUUGCAAAGGGAGUAAAGCAGCACCUGUUCCCUGUCCCGGUGACCUUCCUGGCAAGUCUCUUCCUCUGGAUAUUUGGGAUGGACUGAAAGAGUUUUGGGGUCAAAGCCCUCUGAUCUGGCUGAACUUCAGAUAGGGAGGUUCUAAAUAAAACCUGAAGCUGUAACCCAGUGUGCU